GGGUAACGCGUAGGUAAUCUACCCUUUUACCUGGGAUAACAUCGGGAAACUGGUGCUAAUACCGGAUACAUUUCUUUGCUGCGGGGCGAAGGAAGAAAGGUGGCCUCUUCAUGAAAGCUACUGUAGAGGGAUGAGCCUGCGUACCAUUAGCUAGUAGGCGGGGUAACGGCCCACCUAGGCGACGAUGGUUAGCGGGUCUGAGAGGAUGAUCCGCCACACUGGAACUGGAACACGGACCAG
rnacentral:rRNA from 1 species